rnacentral:rRNA from 1 species
GCAAGUCGAACGCGAAAGCACUUCGGUGCGAGUAGAGUGGCGAAAGGGCGAGUAACGCGUACCUAACGUACCCCUAGGUUGGGGAUAGCUUCGGGAAACUGAAGGUAAUACCCAAUGAUCCCAGAAAAUCGUAUGUUUUUCUGGGCAAAGGCUUGCUGCCUAGGGAUCGGGGUGCGUCCUAUCAGCUUGUUGGUAAGGUAAUGGCUUACCAAGGCUAAGACGGGUAGCGGGUGUGAGAGCACGACC